rnacentral:rRNA from 1 species
UACGAGAGGCCCAAACGUUAUUCGGAAUUACUGGGCUUAAAGAGUUCGUAGGCGGCGCAGAAAGUAGGGUGUGAAAGCCCUCGGCUCAACCGAGGAAUUGCGCUCUAAACUACUGUGCUUGAGGAAUCUAGAGGUGAGCGGAACUGAUGGUGGAGCGGUGAAAUGCGUUGAUAUCAUCAGGAACACCGGGAGGCGAAGGCGGCUCACUGGGGAUUUUCUGACGCUGAGGAACGAAAGCCAGGGGAGCGAACGGG